GACAGGGGGCUCGAGCGUUAAUCGGAAUCAUUGGGCUUAAAGGGUGCGUAGGCGGGUUGCUAAGUGUUCUGUGAAAUCCCCCGGCUCAACCGGGGAAUCGCAGGGCAUACUGGCAGCCUUGAGGCAUGUAGGGGCGGACGGAACUGUAGGUGGAGCGGUGAAAUGCGUAGAUAUCUACAGGAACGCCGAUGGUGAAGACGGUCCGCUGGGCAUGUCCUGACGCUGAGGCACGAAAGCGUGGGGAGCGAACAGG
rnacentral:rRNA from 1 species